rnacentral:rRNA from 1 species
GUUGAACGCUGGCGGCGUGCCUAAUACAUGCAAGUCGAGCGAACGGACGAGAAGCUUGCUUCUCUGAUGUUAGCGGCGGACGGGUGAGUAACACGUGGAUAACCUACCUAUAAGACUGGGAUAACUUCGGGAAACCGGAGCUAAUACCGGAUAAUAUUUUGAACCGCAUGGUUCAAAAGUGAAAGACGGUCUUGCUGUCACUUAUAGAUGGAUCCGCGCUGCAUUAGCUAGUUGGUAAGGUAACGGCUUACCAAGGCAACGAUGCAUAGCCUACCUGAGAGGGUGAUCGGCCACACUGGAACUGAGACACGGUCCAGACUCCUACGGGAGGCAGCAGUAGGGAAUCUUCCGCAAUGGGCGAAAGCCUGACGGAGCAACGCCGCGUGAGUGAUGAAGGUCUUCGGAUCGUAAAACUCUGUUAUUAGGGAAGAACAUAUGUGUAAGUAACUGUGCACAUCUUGACGGUACCUAAUCAGAAAGCCACGGCUAACUACGUG